UAACUGCUGAAAGCAUCUAGUAGUAAGCCCACCCCAAGAUGAGUGCUCUCCUAUUCCGACGUUCCCCAGAGCCUCCGGUAGCACAGCCGAGACGGCAAGGGGUUCUCUGUCCCUGCGGGGAUCGAGCGACAGAAGUUUGAGAAUUCAAGAGAAGGUCACGGCGAGACGAGCCGUUUAUCAUUACGAUAGGUGUCAAGUGGAAGUGCAGUGAUGUAUGCAGCUGAGGCAUCCUAACAGACCGGUAGACUUGAACCU
rnacentral:ncRNA from 1 species